rnacentral:lncRNA from 10 species
UAAGGAAUCUGUCUCUGGGGACACUUCACAAAUGCACAGCAAUCUCUGCAUCUCUUCACGCCUGCUCAAAGAACUGCUGCCUGCUAUCAGCAACGCGACCUGUGUUUUGUUUCCAUUUUGUUUACUGUUGUUGUUGUUUUAAAAAAUAACCAACCUUGCCGGUGGCGUGCUGGAUUUUUUAAACUUUUUCCUCUUCACUGGCACACUCACAAGUUUGUUUAGUGUAAGUCUGAGAAUCCAAAGGGGUUUUAUGUGCCUCACAUUCAUAAAUCCUCAACUGCUUUUCAACCAAAUUUAUUGCCCCUGAGGAUUGAGGGUGAAUGGAAGAGUCAAAAGGAAUCUCCUGGGCUAGAAGGAGAAUGCACAGAGCUGUGUGCACACAAUGUCAAAUAUCCAGAUGAAAAGUGAAAACUUGAGCAAAUCCUCCAGAUGCUUCCAAGGACCUGAAUGCUUGCUAAAUAAAGGCACCUUGCUUUAAUCCAACCCCUCCUACAAAACUAAGUUAACUGCCAGCAUCCAUGAACAAAUCUGCGGUUCAUCACAGUCACUACAGGGCAGCCAAGAGCUGGAUAAAGAAAGACAUUGCUUUCACUGACAGGCAACCCCAUGUUUUGGAAAGUAGAAUUCCUGGAAGUCUGGCACCUCAGGAAAUUUAAGUCCCACACAAACCCCAUGGGCUAUAAUAAGAUAUUGCUGAUGUUUUGGCUGAUAUGCACCAGAAAGCCUUGGGAGGAAAGUGGCCUAGAGACUGUAAUGAAUGAGAGCAUAAUGUCCUGCCCUUGAAGCCACACAAUCAGAAAGUGAGAGGACUACAGAAAAACCAGCAGGGCACUGGCAUUUUCCAGUUGAGCAUUCUGAGCUGACAGUGAAAAUAACGAAUGAAACACGGCAGAGCAGAAGUGGACUUUAUUUGGAAAACCUUGUUUUCCCGGAACUGAAGCUAACCUCUGGGACGAGAGGUUUCAGAACAAUGAAGAAUCAACAAAUAAGAUGAAGAGACGCCUACUGACAAAGACAAAUUCCAUACCCUGGAACUGGACAUCUUCCUGGCAGAGGGAAACAUCCUGCUCUAAAAUGGGCACAAUCAGCAGCAGUUAUGAACGUCGGCUUUUCCACUUGCAAAAGAAAGAUUUUAACUUUGCCUGACAGGAAGGAACACUGACCAAGAAAACAAACCAAACCAACACCGGAGAAGCUGAGCAAAUGCAGUCAGUUGGAUGUGAAUUACCUUUUAGUUGCUGACAACAGAAAGUUACCCUGAACCACUGACCAAGGGAUGAAAAGCGUCCGUGUACUAUUAGUAAUUCUCAGAAUCAUCUCUGUCCCCAACCAAGUAUGGAAAGCCAAGUACAGUAUCAUGGAACCAAAUUCAAAUGCUGGUCUCAAAGUUCCCGACUUGCUUGCCUUCAAGUGCCACUUGAG